rnacentral:rRNA from 1 species
GAUGAACGCUGGCGGCGUGCCUAAUACAUGCAAGUCGAGCGAACAGAUGAGGAUCUUGCUCCUCUGACGUUAUCGGCGGACGGGUUAGUAACACUUGGUUAACCUACCUAUAAGACUUGGAUAACUUCGGGAAACCGGAGCUAAUACCGGAUAAUAUAUUGAACCGCAUGGUUCAAUAGUGAAAGACGGUUUUGCUUUCACUUAUAGAUUGAUCCGCGCCGCAUUAGAUAGUUGGUAAGGUAACGGCUUACCAAGGCAACGAUGCGUAGCCGACCUGAGCGGGUGAUCGGCCAGACUGGAACUGAGAAACGGUCGAGACUCCGACGGGAGGCAGCAGUAGGGAAUCUUACGCAAUGGGCGAAAGGCGGACGGAGCAAAGCGGAGUGAGUGAUGAAGGUCUACGGAUCGUAAAACGAUGUUAUUAGGGAAGAACAAAUGUGUAAGUAACAAUGAACGUAUUGACGGUACCUAAACAGAAAGCCACGGCUAACUACGUG